ensembl:snoRNA
AUUAUCAGCAAGUCAUUUAAAAACAUAACAAAUUUGGUAUAGAUUAAAAUUGCAGUGAUCUGAAGAGGGAGGAUUUAUUUGUGUCCUCCUCCUCUAUGAAGUGGCUGAACUGGAAAUA